rnacentral:tRNA from 1 species
AGCCUUAUAGUUAAAUUAUAAUAUUAAACUGCAAUUUUAAAGUUAUUCGUAAGUCUUAAGGCUU